UACGUAGGGUGCAAGCGUUAAUCGGAAUUACUGGGCGUAAAGCGUGCGCAGGCGGCUUUGCAAGACAGAUGUGAAAUCCCCGGGCUUAACCUGGGAACUGCAUUUGUGACUGCAUCGCUGGAGUACGGCAGAGGGGGAUGGAAUUCCGCGUGUAGCAGUGAAAUGCGUAGAUAUGCGGAGGAACACCGAUGGCGAAGGCAAUCCCCUGGGCCUGCACUGACGCUCAUGCACGAAAGCAUGGGGAGCAAACAGG
rnacentral:rRNA from 1 species